rnacentral:tRNA from 1 species
GCGCACCUAGCUCAAAUGGUAAGAGCAUCACUCUUGAAAGUUGAGGUUGUGGGUUUGAUUCCCACAGUGCACA